CCAACGCGAUUAAGGAAGGGCGAGACGCGGAUGCCAGUUGCAUAGCCCCCCCCACUGUCAACUAUAAAAACAUGGAGAUAUCGAUUUUCUAAUUUAUAUCUAGUUCCUCUAUUUUCUUCCAAGAUAACUCAAAUCACCUCUCACGAAAUUCAAAUUUUUAGUUUCGGUUUUGAAUUCUCCGCCAAUUUGAUCAUCCAAUUAUCCAAACAAAAAGCCCUAAACCCCAAUUCACUUCUCAUCCUUCCACUCUUCUCGUAGCUGAAGAUUCUUGUCCAGCGUCAACUGAGAGUUUGUUCUUGCUACAAAUUUACGAGUUAAGAGAAGAACAUAUAUGGGUCAUCACCAUCACCACCACCAUCAUCAUGGAGAUAGUCCAUACGACGAUCCCUUCUUGGCUUGUUGUUGCUGUCCUUGCUUCCUUGUAUGUUCCAUAUUCAGAGGAAUUGGAGGAUGCUUAUACGCUGCUUGUUACCCUUUCUUGAGGUGCUUUGGAUUGGACGAGAUCGGACACCACCAUCAUCACCACCACCACCACUGCCAUUGAUCCUAAGGUUCAAGGAUUCUGUUUUCUCAUAAAUUCUGUCAAUUUGGGAAAGAAAACAAGUCCAAAGUAAAAUUUCAUUGCACGCAAAUGAAGACUCGUGUAUUGUGUAUUAUUCUGUGGCUGGUUCAAGAUGAAUUUUCAUUUUUCUGGA